GAUGAACGCUGGCGGCGUGCCUAAUACAUGCAAGUCGAGCGAACAGAUGAGUAUCUUGCUCCUCUCACGUUAGCGGCGGACGGGUGAGUAACACGUGGAUAACCUACCUAUAAGGCUUGGAUAACUUCGGGAAACCGUAGCUAAUACCGGAUAAUCUAGUGAACCGCAUGGUUCAAUAGUGAAAGACGGUUUUGCUGUCACUUAUAGAUGUAUCCGCGCCGCAUUAGCUAGUUGGUAAGGUAACGGCUUACCAAGGCAACGAUGCGUAGCCGACGUGAGAGGGUGAUGGGCCACACUGGGAGUGAGCCACGGUCCAGAGUCCUACGGGAGGCAGCAGUAGGGAAUGUUGCGCGAUGGGCGGAAGCCUGACGGAGCAACGCCGCGUGGGUGAUGAAGGUCUUCGGAUCGUAAAACGCUGUUAUUAGGGAAGAACGAAUGUGUAAGUAACUAUGCACGUCUUGACGGUACCUAAUAAGAAAGCAACGGCUAACUACGUG
rnacentral:rRNA from 1 species